GUGAUAACUAUAUUUUACAUAAUGCAGCAUUAUUGUUUUUCUCUCCAUCGUGUGUGCAUCGAAUUUGUGUUUUACUAGAUACGUUGCAUAUGAAGACCGAAAAAUUAAUAAAAGAAAAGUCUUAUCUUAGAUCUGGCGCAAUGACAUUGCCACCAUACAUUCCUUACAAUGGUUUUGUACCAGGACAAACUAUACAAAUUACAAUUGAAUUGGAUAAUAUCAGUGAUGUUGAUGUUGAUUACAUUAGGAUAAGAGCGGAAAGAAUAUGGAAAAUUAAAGCUAAUACGUCUUCUAAGUCUAAAAAAUCAAAUAUUGUUAAAAAAGUAAUGGUGUUAAAUCGUGUUGAAAAACACACUUCAAUAACAUUAAUGGUACAAAUUCAAAUACCAAAAAGACAGAUUAUACUUAAUUUGAAAUAUUGUGGAAUUUUAAUCGAUCCAUUUACUCUACAUGUUGAGACUUGUUCAAAGUAGUGAACAUACAUGAAAAAGUUUCUAGUUACAUCAUUUUAGGUAAUACUCCAUUAAUAACAGCUAAUGAUACUCAUAAAAAUAAUAUUUUUUUUAUUCAGUUAUCAAAUCAAUAUAAAUCAAAAAUAUCCUAUUCCAUUUGUAGGUUUAGUUGAUUUUGGAUCCCAGAUAAUAUGUUUAACAAGUAAUUUAAAGUAACCAACAAUAUUUUGUGCCAUAUAAAUACGUUUUUUAAUAAUCUAAAAAUAAGUUUUAGAACGAAGAAGUUUAUUACUCAUUGAAUGAUCUACAUAUAAAGAUCCGAGUGGUCCCCGUUUCCACCAAAUGAGAUAUUGAUCACAUUUCCAUCAGGAUAAUUUUUAUACUAUUAAAAGCUGUAAUGCAGCAGCCUAAUUUAAAAUACUAGGCAAAUAUACACUAUUGAAAAACGAUAUAUUAUAAUAGAUUAUAAAUAUACAUAUAUAUAUUUAUAAAUACAUAUUAAAUAUAUCAUUAUAUUAUAAAUAAUUUUUGAAUAAUUAAAUUAUAAAAAAAAUUAAGUAAUAAUAAUAAAUCGUACGUUGACCAAAUACAACAUAUUAUAGAAAAUAAAUUGUUUUUAUAAAGUAAAUACCUAAUAGUAUAAAGCAUUUACAACAUUACUACUUUACUAUAAAAAACCAUUCUCCAAUUAUUACGACCCAUUGAUAACUUAGAUCAUUUAGAGUUUAUUACGCUACAAAAAAAAAUCUAAACAAUUACUUAAAAAUCAAUUUCUUCAAUUGGUUCCAAUGAGAAUUGGAUUGGAUCAAAGAUGACAAAGUGGCCACGUCAUCGGCAUCCAUUUUACGUAAAGAGCACAACGUGAUAUUUGCUUCAAGUUGUAUUAGUUUGCGGAGUUUUAUAUAUUUUUUUUUUUUUGUAAAAGUAUUACAAUAUUUAAGGUAAUGUAAAAAAAUAAAUUAUAAUACUGUGUUUUAUAAUUGUGUAAAAGUAGUAUUUAGUACCUACUAUACUUAAUCUAAUCCUAGAGGUUUUAAUCCAGAUUUGGAAGUAAUUGGAAUUCAACCAUUCAAUGGAAACGGUUCGUCGUAGACCUAAAAUUAGGCGCUGGUUGCUGAAGUCAAUAUAUGUAAUCAAUAAGGCUUUCAUUAUUCUUGAACGCAUCGUCAAUAAGACUAUUUGAAAUAUCGGCCAACCAUGGAGAAAAUUUAGUAUCAAUACCAAUCUACAUCGCUAUUAGAUUCUGAACGAAUACGCUGGUUUAAAAAAAAAACUAUUUUUCUCUCAUGAUAUUGCCGAACUACAUAUUAUUACAUUUUGAGUGUGUCACGCCUAAUACCCGAUUACGAGAUGGUACGUGUACACGUGGAUUUUUAAUAUUAAUCGUAAGUGACAUUAAUUAAUAUUUACACAGUUAGUUACAUAUAACACUAUAACAAAAUAUUGAAUUUCUGUUUCUAAAUUUGUGUGUUUCUCGUAUAUUAUUU